rnacentral:lncRNA from 1 species
UAAUAUUCUAAUUACCUGUGUUCUUUUCCUUUACUUACCUCUCUUUUCUUUCUUUUUCUCUCAAUCCAAAUGGCCCAUCAGCACAAAACCAACCUAGCAUUGUAAGGCCGAAAUAGAUAGUUCCAGCCCAUAACAUAUUAAACCUACCAAACAGAAAGGUCAAAAAAAGAUUAAAAAAGCUCAACCCAAAUCUCAUCACACCUAGACUAACCGUUAGCUCCAUAAUAAUCAACUACCAAGAUUUAAAUUAUUAUUACUUGAAAACGUGGCCAUCCUCUUAAUUGACAUGUGGCUAAAUGAGAAAGCCCCAAAGUAUGUAAUUGUUACGAGCUGGAACUCCCAUCGAGCUCGUGACAACCGCCGUGACGUCCCGAUAGACAUUCAUUAUCCGGAAUGUUAAUCGAAACCUCGCAAGGCUUAACAUCAGUUUUUCUCACUUCCCCUAUGAGUAUUAGUCACUAAAAUUGUGUUUUGAGAUAUUAUAAACUAUUUCCAAUUCAAAACAAUAGAAAAAUAAUUUUUUCUCACAAGGGCAUUUUGGUCAUUUUUCCUCAAAAAUCUCGAAAUCCGCUAAAAAUGUAGUAUGCGAGUACAAAACACAUAAUUCAUAAUAAAAAAUAAGUUUAAACAUCUAAAACCUUCACUUAAAAUGAAAUUAUGAUUAUUUAGAUAUAAUAAAAAAAUAAAAGAAAUAUUCAAUAAAAUAUUCUAUUUUCUUAUAAAAUAAUAUUUUUAAAGUUAUACGUAAAUAAAUUUUUUUGUAGUAGCGUAAAAGCAAAAUAAAUUCAUGCAUACUGUAAUACAGUAAGCCAGAGUAUUUAACUUAAUUUACAAUAACCAGUGGGCCCUCGAAUAACUAAAAGAAAGGAAGACUGUGAACCUACAGUUUGGAGGAUGCAAAUCUAAUGGUAACCUCAAUGAAAUCGGCUAUCUAUAGCCUAUUUUGAGCCUGAAAUGGGUGGAAAUGAGGGUGGUGAGAUUAUAUAAUCCCAGUGAGUAAACAAAUACCAUCUAAAAUAUCUAAAGCCGAGUAAAUUGAGACAUAUAAAAUAGUUUAACAUACUAUAAUUCAUCACCUUUCAACUUGUUUCAACCAAAUAAAAUCAAUUCAUAUAAAUCGAGUAAUCAACAUGGCUUAUGAAUUUCUUAAAACUUUGACUCGUGCCAAAAUCAUACCCAGUUAUUAGGGAUACCCUGAUCGAGGGUUAUCCCAACCGAGUCCGCCAAGGCUGUUAAAAAGUUAUGUACGCAUAAAUCAUGUUUUUAUUUUCAAAACAUAGUCGUUCCUUGGCGUUAGCUGAGUUCACCCUCACGUGGUGGUUUGACGUGAAGUGAACUCUAAAGUUAUACCUCGGGAGUUACCCUACUCGCCUCUCCAAUCGAGGUAAAAUAUAGCAGGAUUCCGUGCCCCUCUAAUAAGCUGAUCCACAGAAAACCCGCCCACUGCAGCAAGUUAAACCCACCAUAUAAUAAAAUUUGCAAUAGCAUGACAUGGUAAUUAUUUUAUUUUAUUUUAUUUUACAGCCUUUCAAGGCAAAUCAACAAUUUAUACAUUUCCAACACAUUUAUCAAAUCAACCAUUCAUGCCAAUAUUGCCAUAAGCCAAUCAAUUAGAAUCAUGAAUUUACAACACACAAAAACAGUCUCCAAUUACUCUAUUUUCAAACCAUCAUUCAAUUUUAAAACAAUUUUAUAAAAUCAUUUUCAUUAAAUCACAUUUUGUUUAUAAAACCAAAAAAUUAAUCAAUUAAUUCAUUUUCCAUAAAAUUCACAAAAUCAAAUAAAAACAUACUUUAGAUAAUUAAGAUGAUGAUAAGGUUACUCACUAUUUCGGGGUCGAAUUCCAAGUACUCCGAUUCUUUAUUCUCGGGUACUAUCUCUUUACUUUUGCCAGAAUUAUCACCAUCUAGACAUAAUGCACAAUAAGCCAUUUACUACAUUGUGCUAAAUUGUUAUAAAACCAAUUCAGGCUUUAUACUAAUGUAUGAAAUGGGAUGCAAAUUGUUCGGAUUAUUGUCUAAACACGGUGUUCUACACAAAUUCAAUUGUGUACCUAAAUUAAACGGUAUUUACCUAAUUCGAUCUAUCACUCGAUUAAUUGGCCAAUACGUCCAAUUCAAUUCCAAAUAAUUUCAUUUUUCUCCCAAUACUCCUAAUCAUCAAACACAAAUUAAAUAACUUGAAAUAUGGCAAAAUCAUCCUCACAUUUUCUCUUGGAAAAUUCGGCCAUGGUGGGUGCAUCAACACUAUAAUUUUUCCUAUUUGAUUAUCAUACCAUAAAUCACUAAUUCCUAACCAAAUCACUUGAAAUAAAAUCAAAAUCAUCCUCAAUAUUCCACAUGGAGAAUUCGACCAAUGAUGGGUGAUGGGAGAACAUGAAUUUUUCUUGCUUGAUUUUCAUGCUACACACCACCAAUCAACUAAAAACACUAAAAUACAUUGAAAUCUAACCAAAUCAAGCAUCAAAACCUCUCUCCUAGGGUUUGAUCAGCACACUAUCCUUCAUGAUAUCUUGUGAUUCAACCAUGAAAAAUGCAAAAUAAUGCAUGGGAAAGGUAGAUCACAAGUCAAAAUCAAUAAAUUUUACAUUUGAUUGCUUAAUUACUUGAAAUUCACCAAUUUUCUCUUGAAUUUUCACCUUAGGGUUCUUGUUCUUCCUUUUUCUUCCUUUGUUCUUGCUUUGGCCGGC